UACGUAGGGGGCAAGCGUUGUCCGGAUUUAUUGGGUGUAAAGCGCGUGUAGGCGGCCAGGUAGGUCCGCUGUGAAAACCCGAGGCUCAACCUCGGGACGUCGGCGGAAACCACUUUGGCUAGAGUCCGGAAGAGGAGAGUGGAAUUCCUGGUGUAGCGGUGGAAUGCGCAGAUAAUCAGGAGGAACACCUAUGGCGAAGGCAGCACUCUGGUACGUGACUGACGCUGAGACGCGAAAGCGUGGGGAGCAAACAGG
rnacentral:rRNA from 1 species